UAAAAAUUGGGCAAAUAAUAUGAAUAAACAUUUCUCCUAAGAAGAUAUGCUAAUUGCCCAUAAGCAUUAGAAAAGAUGCUCAAUAUCAUUAGUCAUUAGGGAAAUGCAAAUCCAAACCAC